GAUCAUGGCUCAGGAUGAACGCUGGCGGCGUGCUUAAUACAUGCAAGUCGAACGAAGCACCUUGGACAGAAUCCUUCGGGAGGAAGACCAUUGUGACUGAGUGGCGGACGGGUGAGUAACGCGUGGGUAACCUGCCUUGUACAGGGGGAUAACAGUUGGAAACGACUGCUAAUACCGCAUAAGCGCACAGUACCGCAUGGUACGGUGUGAAAAAACUCCGGUGGUACAAGAUGGACCCGCGU
rnacentral:rRNA from 1 species